GCCACCGUCGCAUAACCUGGUAUUGCGCUGGCCUGCUAAGCCAGUUUCCUUCGGGAUAUCUGGGUUCAAAUCCCAGCGGUGGCG
rnacentral:tRNA from 1 species